AUCGAUGAAGAACGCAGCGAAUUGCGAUAAGUAAUGUGAAUUGCAGAAGUGAAUCAUCGAAUCUUUGAACGCACCUUGCGCUCCCUGCAGAUCUAAUCUGGGGAGCAUGCCUGUUUGAGGGCCGCGAAUUGUUUCG
rnacentral:rRNA from 1 species